GAAGGGUUAAAUGGAGUUUUUUAUCAUCAGAUUGUCAUAAUGGUCCUUAUGAGGGAGAGUGGCUGCCAUGACAUGCUAUUUCUCAUUACCUUUCUAGUGAACACUAUCACAAUCAAGUAUAUGGUACUCAGGAAUCAUCUAAUAGGUUCUGUGUCCUAGGCCAGGGUCAACAAAGGAAAGUUUCCUUGGUGAAAAAAAUCUGAAGUUAGACAAAACUUUUCAUCCUUAUGGACAGACAAUAUGUCUUCGUUCCUGAAUAUCUAAAGAGCUCUGAUCCAUGCAUGUUUUCCAUACUUGAAUCAAGUCUGAAGAGACAACCUCUACCUGGGAUAUGCUGCUUUUAUGACAGAUGGAAAAGAAUGAUGUGAAAACCAUACAAUAAUUCUUAAAGCCUUUUGUUAGAAGUGGCAUAUGUCCUUCUACCCACAUUUCAUCAGCCAAAGCGGAUCAUACAGUCAAGCCUGAUAUCCAUGGGGCAGGAGAACAUAACCUUCCCACAUGGAGACUCAGCAUAUAGUUGAGAACAAUUAAUAUAAUUUGGCAAAAAUGUCAUAAGAAUCUCAGAGUUUACAUGUCCAAAAUUUAAAUAUUUAUUUCUCU